GGAGAAGGCAAGGGACACCCUGGACAAGUCACCAGUUCAUCGCAGGGCUGAGAUAUAGAGACGAACAACCAUUCACGCUCACAUUCACACCUACAGGCAAUUUGGAAGUGGCAAAUUAACCUAACCCCACUUAGGCAUGUUUUUGGAUGUGGGAGGAAACCGGAGUACCCGGAGUAAACCCACGCAGACACAGGGAGAACAUGCAAACUCCACACAGAAACGCCCUGACCCGGAUUCGAACCCA